CUUCAGUCAUUUGGUUCUCUUUCCAGAAAAUUUAGGUCGUCAAAGCGUCGAACAAGGUGACAAAUUUCACCAACAUAGGACUGAAAUAUAAAGAAUAUAUUUAAGCUUCAGGGACGAGCAAAUAGUAGAAAGAAAAUUUAAGUCAUCAAAG